AAGCUCGUAGUUGAAUUUCGGGAUCAAUAUGCUGGUCGUGCCAUUGGUACGUACUAGUAUUAUUGGUUUCUUCCUUCUGAUGAAUCAUGAUGUCAUUAAGUUGAUGUCAUGGAGAAUCAGGACUGUUACUUUGAAAAAAUUAGAGUGUUUAAAGCAGGCUCGCGCUUGAAUACAUUAGCAUGGAAUAAUGAAAUAGGACGUUUGAUUCUAUUUUGUUGGUUUCUAGGAUUGACGUAAUGAUUAAUAGGGAUAGUUGGG
rnacentral:rRNA from 1 species